rnacentral:rRNA from 1 species
CCGGUCUCACUUCUUCGAUAAACAACGCUGGCGGCAGGCCUAACACAUGCAAGUCGAGCGGAAACGAGUUCUCUGAACCUUCGGGGAACGAUAACGGCGUCGAGCGGCGGACGGGUGAGUAAUGCCUAGGAAAUUGCCCUGAUGUGGGGGAUAACCAUUGGAAACGAUGGCUAAUACCGCAUGAUGCCUACGGGCCAAAGAGGGGGACCUUCGGGCCUCUCGCGUCAGGAUAUGCCUAGGUGGGAUUAGCUAGUUGGUGAGGUAAGGGCUCACCAAGGCGCGAUCCCUAGCUGGUCUGAGAGGAUGAUCAGCCACACUGGAACUGAGACACGGUCCAGACUCCUACGGGAGGCAGCAGUGGGGAAUAUUGCACAAUGGGCGCUAGCCUGAUGCAGCCAUGCCGCGUGUGUGAAGAAGGCCUUCGGGUUGUAAAGCACUUUCAGUCGUGAGGAAGGUAGUGUAGUUAAUAGCUGCAUUAUUUGACGUUAGCGACAGAAGAAGCACCGGCUAACUCCGUGCCAGCAGCCGCGGUAAUACGGAGGGUGCGAGCGUUAAUCGGAAUUACUGGGCGUAAAGCGCAUGCAGGUGGUUUGUUAAGUCAGAUGUGAAAGCCCGGGGCUCAACCUCGGAAUUGCAUUUGAAACUGGCAGACUAGAGUACUGUAGAGGGGGGUAGAAUUUCAGGUGUAGCGGUGAAAUGCGUAGAGAUCUGAAGGAAUACCGGUGGCGAAGGCGGCCCCCUGGACAGAUACUGACACUCAGAUGCGAAAGCGUGGGGAGCAACAGGAUUAGAUACCCUGGUAGUCCACGCCGUAUACGAUGUCUACUUGGAGGUUGUGGCCUUGAGCCGUGGCUUUCGGAGCUAACGCGUUAAGUAGACCGCCUGGGGAGUACGGUCGCAAGAUUAAAACUCAAAUGAAUUGACGGGGGCCCGCACAAGCGGUGGAGCAUGUGGUUUAAUUCGAUGCAACCGAAGAACCUUACCUACUCUUGACAUCCAGAGAACUUUCCAGAGAUGGAUUGGUGCCUUCGGGAACUCUGAGACAGGUGCUGCAUGGCUGUCGUCAGCUCGUGUUGUGAAAUGUUGGGUUAAGUCCCGCAACGAGCGCAACCCUUAUCCUUGUUUGCCAGCGAGUAAUGUCGGGAACUCCAGGGAGACUGCCGGUGAUAAACCGGAGGAAGGUGGGGACGACGUCAAGUCAUCAUGGCCCUUACGAGUAGGGCUACACACGUGCUACAAUGGCGCAUACAGAGGGCUGCCAACUUGCGAAAGGAGCGAAUCCAAAAAGUGCGUCG